AACUCCCCCGCUACCCACCCUGUCGCUUCCCUCUCGCGGCCACCUCCUCCGCCGCCUCCCCUCCUCCUCUCCCCUGCGGCCCCCUGCGGCGGCGACGCGACGCGCUCGGCCAGCAGCGCGGCAGCGGCCCGGCGGCUCAACUCGCGCGGCCCGCGGGGCGGCACAGCGGCGGCGCGGCUGCCUAGAUCUAUAGCACGACUGCGGGGCAGCGGCGCGUCGGCCUGGAUCUGCGGCGGGAGCAGCGGCGGGCACGGGAGCAGCGGCGCGGGGCGAGGGGUCGCUCCGUCGGCGUGGAGCCGCGGCGGCGCACCCUUCCCCGCCGGCACCCUCCCCCGCUAAGGCGCUGAGCCACCUUCCCCUCCCUCGCCUCCUCACUCCUUGCUCCGGCGCGACGACGAGUCACCAGGCCUGCGCGAUGGCCGACGGCGCCAGCAGUGGCGGCGGUGCGCGAGACAGGGCGAGUAGGUGGUGAUUGACUACGGCCGGCGCCGCAUGAUCUGCAGCUACUGCCGAUCUUCCGGACCCACGGUUGCAACUGACAAGUGCAUUAUGGCAUUCUUGUUUCUGAUCAUUUGUGGUGUUAUUGCAAUAAUUGUUGUUAAGAGGUGAAAGGUUGGAGAGCCUAGUGGAGUGUGAAUCUAAUUGAUGCUUCACAGUUCAAUAAGCUUGUACAAUGGUCUGCUAAUGCUUCUAGCAGUUGACAUACCUGAAGGCUUGUGCUGAGUAACAUGUGGACUCUACCAAUGACUUCACUAACAAAGAGAAGGCUGCUGGUCACUUCACUUUGAAGGCUUAUGGAUCAAACUAUCAGGUGAUUCUCAAUAAGUAGUAUUCACCAACAUAGCACUCUCAGAUGUGAAUGCAAUAACUUUUUUCUGUUGAAGAGAGCACUUGAGCAUCAGUUGGAAAAGAUAUAUUUGAUAUUGAACUGAUUAUCUUUUGCUGCAUGCUGUCCACUUAAUUGAUAAGUCAUAUUGAAUUACAGAUUUGGUAUCUAUGUAACAGUACUACAAUGCAUCUGUUAGCUAUAUAGGACCAUUGUAGUAGAUUAGAGGAUGCACUAUGUAUGAGCACAGAUGUAUGAAUAGAUGUAUAUAUGUAUGUGUGAUCAUAGGAUGUACUAUGAUGUGUAUAUGACCUAUUUCUUUUUAUCAAUUUUUGUCCCCUAUUUUUUUUUAA